rfam:Homo sapiens chromosome 3, GRCh38 reference primary assembly.
GCUGGGCACGGUGGUGUGUGCCUGUAAUCCCAGCUACUCGGGAGGCUGAGGCAGGAGAAUUGCUUGAACCUGGGAGGCUGAGGUUGCAGUGAGCUGAAAUCGUGCCACUGCACUCCAGCCUAGGUGACAGAGCGAGACUCUGUCUCAA